rnacentral:rRNA from 2 species
CCUGAGAAACCCAAAAGAUCGAAUGGGGAGAUUCAUCGUCAGCUCAUUUUGUAUAUAUAUUAGUUAUGAUGCGGGUUACUACUUGUAGUAUUGCCUGCACGUGCUUUUAUAUUUUAUUGCAAGGUGUUGUCGGCGUGCACUUCUCCCCUAGUAGAACGUCGCGACCCGUUGGGUGUCGGUUUACGGCCCAAGUGAUAGACUUUAAUGUAAUUUAAAAAACAUUGAAGAUCCUUGGUGUUUUCUAACCGGCUACUCGGCGGUACUCGUACGGUAUUUAGCCGCUAAUUUAUUUAGCGUCCAUGUCCGUCGCAAGCGAGGCUAAUUUUCUACUGAUAGUACGGACCUAGUGCCGUCGUUGGUAUUGGCCAGCUGUUGGUUGUACGGUAUUCUAGGACUGGCUAAAAAUUAAUUACCGGUCGGCGAUGCUACUGCUUUGGGUACUUUCAGG